CCUUACAACACCUACACCCCAUACACACACACACACUUCCCAACCCCUUAUAACACCUACACCCCAUACACACACACACACUUCCCAACCCCUUAUAACACCUACACCCCAUACACACACGCACACACACCCUACACCCUUACAACACCUACACCCCAUACACACACUUCCUACCCCCUCUACAACUACACCCCAUACACACACGCAUACUUCCCACCCCCUCUACAACACCUACACCCCAUACACACAUGCACACUUCCCACCCCCUUACAACACUUACACCUUCUACACACACACACACUUCCCAACCCCUUAUAACACCUACACCCCAUACACACACACACUUCCCACCCUACCUAUAACUACACCCCAUACACACAUGCACACUUCCCACCCCCUUACAACACCUACACCCCAUACACACACACACUUCCCACCCUACACCCUUACAACACCUACACCCCAUACACGCACACACACCCUACACCCUUACAACACCUACACCCCAUACACACACUUCCCACCCCCUCUACAACUACACCCCAUACACACACGCAUACUUCCCACCCCCUCUACAACACCUACACCCCAUACACACAUGCACACUUCCCACCCUAUCUAUAACUACACCCCAUACAAACAUGCACACUUCCCACCCCCUCUACAACAUCUACACCCCAUACACACAUGCAUACGUCUCACCUCCUUAUCUGCUGUUUCUUUCUCCUUAGCAGUCAACACCAUCUAACGCACUAUGUAUUUUGCUCAUUUAGAACUCAUUCUCUGUCUCCUCCACUGGAAUGUCGGCUCUCUAUGAGAGGGGGCUUUCAUUUCUUGUUCUUAUUCUUGCAUUUGUUUGUUCAGUUGGUUGGUUGAUAGGCUGGCUACUACAGUAAUGUGCAGUGCCUAGAAUGUGCCAGGAAACACUUAAGAAUUUGGUAACUGCAUGAAAUGAAUGAAAAAGUAAGAACACAAGCCCAGCAUCUUGGUCCUUCCCACGACCUGGCUUAACAAACCAUAGGACUAUGCUUCACGAGAACCUGCUGCUGAUGCUGCACUUAGGGUCAGGAUUUGGAGAGUGUGACACCGAAGGCGAGAGUUCUUCCAUGGGGGGAUCAACUGGUGAUACUGAAUCAGAAGACAGUGAGGGCAAGGAAAGUGAAUGGGACUAGUAGGGUGAACACUUGUCAUAGAAAGACUAUUAUAUUUCCUAGAAAAUGAAAACAGCUACAACCUAAAGCAUGCCUCAGUGAGCAGAUCAGAGUGGAGAGGAGAAAAA
rnacentral:lncRNA from 1 species